rnacentral:sRNA from 1 species
CGUGGAUGGACUUCUGAGUGGGAUCCUGGCCAUCAUCUAUGUGUCAGCUGCUUCUUUCCACUUGUCCUUUUAUUCACCUGGAGUCCCCUCCAUAUACAAGGGUCUACCCUGCCCCUAUGCUUCCUGCAUCUUGGCUUCCACCUCCCUUCUGACCAAAGGCAACAGCUUCAUCCUCUGCUGCAUGGCCUCACUCAUGAUUCUCUUCAUGAUGGACCAGAGCUACUAUCCAUAUGACAAAAUCCUGGAGUCUGAGAACUGGAAAAAAUUGGUUUAUAUAGGAGAGAGUACCCCAAAAUCAUACAUAUAUUGUAGAGAGGGGUCUCACUCUUUUGUCCAGGCUGAUCUCAAAUUCCUGGACUCAAGCAAUCCUCCUGCCUUGGCUUCCCAAAGUACUGAGAUUACAGGCAUGAGCCAAUGCGCCAGUCAUGUACUUUCCAAGACAACUCUGGUUUUCAGUAUUGUCUUUUUGCCUCAACAGUCAAUGACUAUUCUUGAAAUGCAGUAUUCCAAAAUGC